AGGAGUUGAGCAAGAAGAGGCUGUGCUAAGAAGCUAACUUGAGCAGAAAUGUUGAACUUGGGUGAACUGAUGAGUGCAGGUAUGUGCCCUAUAUAUACUCACAAUCUAAGUGCUGAAGGCAUUCGUGGUAUCAGGAGUUGUUAGCUCCUGAAGACUUGGAAUCUUAACUUUAAGGCGUAGGCAGGUGUACUGUAUUAUAUUGGUUGCCAUCACUGGAAAUAUUGUGGUAUGUCCACUCUCAUAGCCUACAUAAAAAUAAGGAGUGUUCAUUGCUAUUCCACAUCGAUGAAUAAAAUCUGCUGACCACUCUCACUUAUUCCCUAUAUCUGCAACCCUAGACAUGAUACGCUCCUGCUGAAAAGUAGAUUGCCUUUGGACUUGUCUUUUAGAUUGACACCUCAUGUUUCUCAUUCUCAACAAGAACUUUCUGUAACUCUUCCUCAGUAAGAGUUGUAGGCAAAUGGGAUAAGUAAGCAUCAGCCCCCUGGUAGGGCAAUACUUGCCAAGGUUCUAUACUUCUAUCUCCAUACUGUAGACAACAAGAAGUUAGAGCGUACCUACUAUUUGAUGGCAUUGCAGUGAGGAUCAUUUCUCAAUAUAAAUUACAAAAGAGGUUUCUUGAGCAUGAUUGGUUGGGAAUAUUGGACUGCAACAAUAAAAAAGUGCUAGAGGAUUUUCUUGACACUUGUUCACUGUCUUCUACCAAAUCAAUAAUUCCUGUCUUCCUUUAUAGCAGUUCUUUUAUCAAGUAGAUGCUUGAUAAGCAAAUUAGUGGUACAGCUGUGUGGUUUAUUUCAGUGCAUGCCGACAUCUAGAAUUCAGAAUCAAGUUUUCGUCAUUCAAAGAUUAUAGGUUAGGGUGGGUUCUUAGAUAAUGAUGACGAUGGUAAAUUGGCUUUAUUUGAUCUACAACAUUCUGUUAUUCACUGCUCUCCAAGUAUGUCUAUCUAAAGUUCUAAACAUAUUAGUCCUGUUCUUUAUCUAUCAAGCGAGAUUUUGCUCAAAGACUAAAACAGCCUUCUUUCGGAACAAACAUUUUGGCAUGUUUUGAACUGUCACAAUAUCUGCUCUAUUGUAACAAAAUUUGAAAAUCCAAUUUUCUUUUAUUUUAAUAUGCAUAAUAGGUGGUGCAGUCAAUUAUAAUAUAAAAUCAGUCUGCUAUUUUUUUUGUCCAAAAUAUUUACCCUUUUCUGUGUCUCUGUAGUUCUAUGAUCUCACCCCCCCGAGUUCAAGCUACUACCUAAAACACCAGUCCAAGUCACAUUCCAAGGGCAGUAGGCCUUCUAGAAUCAUUUUAUAAGUUGCUUGACACACAAUCACUCAUAUUGCGGAACUGAACAUCUAAACUCACUUGUCAGCUGUUCUCAAGAUUCAAACUUUCACACGAAACUCAGAAUUUCACUUAAGGGCUGUUGACAGUACGCAUAUUCUGCUAAUAAACUUUCUAUAGAAGUUUAUUGUACUCUGUACAUCUCUAUUUUACUAGUUUUCCUGAUGGAAUAUGAUCUCUGACAAAUAGGUCAGAAUGCAGCUUCUUACGAAUACUCCUAGGGGGGUGCAUUUGCCUUUUGAAAUGUCUGCCGCUCUGUCUUCCUUGCUUUCUGACAGAAUAUGAUUUGUGUAAUACAACGUCCUAAUCUUCUUAUCAUGACAGGAAUAUGCCUGCGGAGCUGAUGGACUCUACAUAAAGCGGACGCAGAAAGCAGAGAUAGAUAAGGCAAAGGCCUACUACAUUUAUUCUUGACCAACAGGGGCCCGCGGAAUCCCAUUUUAUUCCUGUAAUUCGCACCAAAGAUUUUAUGUCAAUCACGCCUCCCCCUUCUGAUGUUAUGUUCCCACUUGCAGAACGCAGGCCUUGAGCUGUGCAUCGAGGAAUCAAGCCACUGGUUUUCUCAGUCCUCCACUCCUGCUGGCACCUAAAU
rnacentral:lncRNA from 1 species